rnacentral:misc_RNA from 1 species
UUUUAAACCCGACAGUAGCGAACACGUAUCCCGAUUUAAGCACCUAUUUUUAUUUAUGUGUGGUGUGCUUGCUUGUUGCACAGGUUUCAUCGGGAGAAGUAAAGCGCAUGGCGGGACUAGCG